rnacentral:rRNA from 1 species
AUGGAACGAAACUUUGUGAGGAUUUUUUAUACCAAUAAUAAGAAUUUCUGGAGCCAAGACCCACCAGAGAGGGGCCCCUGGGUGGGCACAACCCACCAGGGUGCGCCCCCUCUCCUGGCGCGCCCAGGUGGGUUGUACCCACCUGGUGGCCUUGCUGACGACCCCCCUGAUACUAUAAAUUCACAUAUUUUCAGAAAAAAUCAGGGAGAAAGAAUUAUUGUGAUCCACGAAACGGAGCCGCCGCCAAGCCUUGUUCUUCCUCGGGAGGGAAGAUCUGGAGUCCGUUUGGGGCUCCAGAGAAGGGGAUCUUCGUCUUCAUCAUCACCAACCCUUCUCCAUCGCCAAUUCCAUGAUACUCCCCAUCGGGAGUGA